rnacentral:rRNA from 1 species
AUUGAACGCUGGCGGCAGGCCUAACACAUGCAAGUCGAACGAGUGGCGGACGGGUGAGUAAUGUCUGGGAAACUGCCUGAUUGAGGGGGAUAACUACUGGAAACGGUAGCUAAUACCUCAUACCAUCAGAUGUGCCCAGAUGGGAUUAGCUUGUUGGUGGGGUAACGGCUCACCAAGGCGACGAUCCCUAGCUGGUCUGAGAGGAUGACCAGCCACACUGGAACUGAGACAGGGUCUAGACUCCUACGGGAGGCAGAAGUGGGGAAUAUUGCACAAGGUGCGCAAGCCUGAUGCAGCCAUGCCGCGUGUAUGAAGAAGGCCUUCGGGUUGUAAAGUACUUUCAGCGGGGAGGCGGUACAAGAAGAAGAAGCACAGGCUAACUCCGUGCCAGAAGCCGCGGUAAUUC